GAUGAACGCUGGCGGCGUGCCUAAUACAUGCAAGUCGAGCGAACAGACGAGGAGCUUGCUCCUCUGACGUUAGCGGCGGACGGGUGAGUAACACGUGGAUAACCUACCUAUAAGACUGGGAUAACUUCGGGAAACCGGAGCUAAUACCGGAUAAUAUAUUGAACCGCAGGGUUCAAUAGUGAAAGACGGUUUUGCUGUCACUUAUAGAUGGAUCCGCGCCGCAUUAGCUAGUUGGUAAGGUAACGGCUUACCAAGGCUACGAUGCGUAGCCGACCUGAGAGGGUGAUCGGCCACACUGGAACUGAGACACGGUCCAGACUCCUACGGGAGGCAGCAGUAGGGAAUAUUCCGCAAUGGGCGAAAGCUUGACGGAGCAACGCCGCGUGAGUGAUGAAGGUCUUCGGAUCGUAAAACUCUGUUAUUAGGGAAGAACAGAUGUGUAAGUAACUAUGCACGUCUUGACGGUACCUAAUCAGAAAGCCACGGCUAACUACGUG
rnacentral:rRNA from 1 species